AGUCAAUCAAGUUUAACUAGGCCUCCCAUAGUGGGACUGGGGAAUGUAUGGCCUGAGAUGCCUAUUAAACUUUAUUUCUGCUUAGAGCUGUUUCUGUGUGUGUCU